rnacentral:lncRNA from 1 species
CAUCUUCUAGACCCUUCACUACCGAGGCAUCCAGGGAGUCCAGAGCGUGCUCGACGCAGUCCGAACUACUUCCAGUGGAUGAGUAUGAGCUGCCCUCUUCGUGGCAUGCUGGAUCUGGGACUAUGGUGACAGACUCUUCAUUCAGAUAAUGUGAGGUGAGCUUCUCUCUAGCUCAGUAAUUUUAUAUUCUCAAGGUCCAUACCGAACUUGCUGUAUGAUGUGUGAAUGGACAAGAAAAUGAUUUUAGCAUUGAAACAUUGAAUGUAAAGCUUGUGAACCUACAAAUGAAUGAAAAAUCUGUUGAUAGUUAUCCCAUGUACCUAUAAAUAAAAAUGAUAACAACUAUUUUAGUGCUUAAUUAAUCAUCUUCAUCUUCUUCUUCCUGAGUGGCAUGCUGUUGGAGAUUACUCCACAACUGUCGAGCGAUGCUUGCACGUACUCUUUCACCGGCAACUCGAUCAUCUUCUUGUAAGUUUGCUUGCCCUCGAACUUCUUGGUCACCGGUGUCAACAUCUCCUUGUGUUCCCUCUUGUUCAUAAAGCUCAAACAACUCAUCAUUCCUAUCAACCUUCCUUAUGAAGUUAUGGAUGAUGCAACAAGCCUAACAAUUUGGACCUGUUUUUUGUAAGGAUAAGGGAUUCCUCCAUUCCUUGUUAAUAUUGGAAAUCGAGCUUUUAGAACGCCAAAAGUAUGUUCUACAACAUUCCGUAGUUGUGCGUGACGAUGAUUGAACAAAUCUUUCUCACUACUAUAUCGACGUUUAGUUCCACGAAAAGAACCAAUGUGAUAGCGAUCUCCACGAUAGGGGGCAAUAAAUCUUGGAGUAUUUGCAUAGCCCGAGUCCACGAGAUAAAACUUACCUGCAUGUAAAGUUUGAUAUCACUCUCAAAUUUCCUAUUAUAUCAUUACAUGUUUGAUACAAUGAGACAAACUUUACUUGCAUGUAAAUUCAUGUAUUUUUUAUUUUUACCUUUUGGGACAACAAACCCACCAUCAGUAACAGCCCACCUUAAUACGGCUUGAUCCGAUGCGGAACCUUCCCAUCCAGCAGCCACAUAUGAAAAUGUCAUGUCAAAUGACACUACUGCCAUUACAUUUUGAGAGGGAUAACCAUGCCUAUUUCUGUAAGGAGUUUGUUUAUCAAGCUUGAUUUUUGCAUUAAUAUGUGUCCCAUCAAUUGCUCCCAUACAGUUCUGUUGAGAAAAAUUCAGAAUUAGAAUUGAAGAUUUGAACUUUGCUGCAAGUAAUAUCCAAAAGGAACAUGUUCUUGAGAUAGAAUAUAUACCUUGAAGUAUGGGUAAAACCUUGAGUCGCCCAAUAUUUCGUUGGGAACUUCAUUGGACGGAUCUGUUAUGUAAACAUCACGUAAGCCAUUAAUGGCUUUUAAUACUCUCUUGAAAUGCCGACUUAUUGUUUCUCCUGAAUGUUGAAAUCUAUCCUGGAUAACACGGUUCCUAACAUUGUGACCAAUUGUAUGUAGAAAUAUGACUAGUUGUUCAUUGACGUCCAUCCGUUUUGUAUCUGUAAGUAAAUUCCUCUCGCACAAUGCAUCUCGCAAUAAGUAGAAGGUGUGCUUAUCAACACGAAGUUGUUCAUAAAAUCUAACUGGAUGUCCUUCCAACCACUCUCUAGUCUUUUGCGCACCAGUUAAUUUAGAGGUAUUACGUGGUGUUUUGAAUAGCCUUCCGAACAGCACAUGUUGCAAAAGUGACAUUGCAGAAAGGUCAUUAAUAAUCAUUUGCUCAGAAUCAGAAUAGUCUCCAUCUGCCAUAUCUUCCAUGGUUUCCCUGCAAAAUUUCAUGUAGCAACUUCGGUUAACUGUCGGAAUUUCUACAAUGUUAUUGUUCUAGAGCUGAUAAAUUUUCUGUUAAAUGGUAGGACAAGAAUCAUUGAAUGAGUGAUGGGAGAACAUUGAAUGAUUUCGGUGACAAAUUUUACUCGCUAGGUUGAUGAUAAAAAUGGAGAUAUGUACUGACGCAAAGUGCAACAUUGCAUCAUUGCUGUUUAAACCAAUGAACCAAAAGGAAAGGUAUGCCAUCAACUUCUCACUUAUAUCUUAAGCUUAUGUAUUUGUAGAACACACACACACACACACACAAAUAUAAAUCCAAGUUCUGAAGAGGGAUUUAUAUAUGAGACCAUAUAUAACUAGUAGCACGAACCAAAUAAAUAUAUAAAUUUGCAUAUUGAUUGUUUGAACACAAACUUACAGAAGGAAUUUAUGGAAAUUGCAAAUACAACCUAUUCAGAAAACUAAACAGUACGCUACAACAAGUAAAAAACUACGCAUUUUCAACCCAGAGAGACCGAGUCUCUUCAUCCAUCUCAAUGAAAAUAGCCCUUUUAUCAACAUGUUCAAAUGCUUGUGCAGCUUUCAAUUUUUUGUUUGGUUCAACAUCAGGCAUGCUAUUUAAUAUCUGCAUACAUGCUUUCACUGAGUAAGCUUCUGUUUGCUGUGCUGCAUUUUUCUUUGAUUCAGCAAUAAUCAGUGAUGCAUCUGCCAGGCGAUCAAUUGCAUUAAUAGCAUCAUCAGCUGUUCGCUUUUGCCCUUUUGAAGUGCUUUGCGACCCACUUGCAUUGCCCUUCUUCUUUUUCUCGACCUUAGUGGUGUUAGGCUUCUUAGGACAAGCAACAGGGGAAUCAUUUGUUCCAUCAGAUACAACUUCUACUAUCUCAUUCAGAUCAAUUUCAAUUUGUUCUUUGCUGGUUCCACCUUUCCCUUUGCUAGAUAUAGCACCAACUCCUGAUGCGGUAGAGCUAGCACAAAUGUCCUGAAGGUCUAUCCAACUAGGCCACACUUUGUCUCGGUAUUCUUGAAUAUUCUUGUCCUUCUGCAGUUUGUUAGUUUAUUGUAAGUCCAUUUUUCAACUGUAUGAUAUAGCAAUAUUUAAAAAUUAAUGUGUUUCAACUUACCGAUAUGAGAUCCGCCCAACUUUCUUCUGAAGCUUUGAUCAUUUUAUCAUCGUCAUCCCAACCAAACCCUGUGUGCUUUAGAAGUUUGUCCAUGCUAGCAUAACAACUCCUGUAGUACUUAUGACGAUUUUUUAUUUGUUGCAACUCAAGUUUGUCUACCUUUGACUCAUUGAACUGUUCUAGGCUUUCACGCCAUGCUUUCUUUGUGUAUCAUGUUCCUUCCUUACCUCCAUUUUGAGUUUGAUCUUUUAAUAUGUUGAGCAAUAUUUUGUCCUCUGAAGAUUUCCAUGUGUGGCGCUUUAUGGGCUGCUUUUCGGUCUUUUCCUUCUUAAUAUUUUUGAUUUGGUCGUCCAUAUUUUCCUACAUGUAAACAAAACAAUAUAAACUACUACUAGUUAAAUCACUUAAGUAGAAAAAAAGGAUUUUUUAUUACCUUUUGGCCCUACUUAUCUGUACUAGUACUAUUUACUGCCAAUGGUCUUCCAUUAUGAUGGAAGUAAUUAUGAUCUACUCCCUCCGUUCCUAAAUAAUUGUCUUUCUAGAGAUUUCAACAAGUGACUACAUACGGAGCAAAAUGAGUGAAUCUACACUAUAAAACAUGUCUACAUACAUCCGUAUGUUGUAGUCCAUUUGAGAUGGCUAGAAAGACAAUUAUUUAGGAACGGAGAGAGUACUAAAAUCAAUAGAGCUGUGCUAUACACACGACAAAAUAUGGACUAUGUUUAAAAUCCGGCCACACAUGCGCGCAUACAUUGGGCACCGGCCGCUGGAUUUCGAUGCCGUGCAUGCAUCGGGCAGCAGGAUCGUGCAUGAAGCAAUUUCUAAAUCAAUAUCAAGGGUAUCGCAUCUGUAAAAGAAUUGUCAACUUUGUACUGAAAUUACAUGACUACGACUCAGGCUGAACUACGACUAGUGCAUAGAGAAGGUUUGUCUAUUCAUCACUCGAGUAAAGACAUGUUGGCAGAACUUUGCAAUUUAAGUUCCAUACUUGCACUUGUUUCCUCAGAACAUGAACAAUUUUGCUAUAAGUUUGAGUAUGUUCAUCAGUUUCUGAUUAUGAAUCUUACCUGUAGGCUCAUGAAGGUUGAUUUCUUGCUGCAAACAAGUCGAGGAGGUAGCUCUUGUUGUCCCAGCAGGGUCAGCGGCGUCUGAUUGGAGAUCUCAGCCUAGCGUCGAUGGCCAGAAUAUCGAUGAUCACAGCCGUUAUCGGCGGCCAGCCAUGGAAGAAGCACGUACCCAGAUCCUGUUUGUUGAUGUUUGUUAUGCCGGCAUCCCUGUAUAUAUAUAGAAGCUUGGAAAAAAGGGCGCGUGCUAGUUGCGCGGGAAGGCACAGUUGGCGCCAACAAGUUUGUUGAGGAAGACGUGGAGGGGAAAAAGUCUGUUUUAUGUAACCAGGUUUCUAUAAAAACGAGUAUUAGUCGUUUUUCACUAGACGCACUUUCCUGGCUUUGUGGAAACCGAAUUCUGCUUAUCCAUGUUUCUAUUGGACCACCCAAACGUGGUUUUAGUUUGUUACACGGUUAGAUCGGAUUACGGGAAACCAGCUCUGAUAAAACAGCGUAUCCAAACAAGGUGCUUCAGGAAACGCAAGUGAAGGGCCGGUUUGAGGGACAACAAAGUCAAAAUUAAAAUGAAAGGGAGAAGCAGAUCAGUCAACAAACGACCGACUCGGGAGUUUUUUCUGGUCCACUUGAUAAAAUGUCAUAUCAAUUGGAGUGUGUGGAUAUCACUCUUGCGUAAGUACCGAGACCGUGGACCAUGUCCCGAG